CACGUAGUUAGCCGGUGCUUCUUCUGUAGGUACCGUCACAAAAGCUUCGUCCCUACUGAAAGCGGUUUACAACCCGAAGGCCGUCAUCCCGCACGCGGCGUCGCUGCAUCAGGCUUUCGCCCAUUGUGCAAUAUUCCCCACUGCUGCCUCCCGUAGGAGUCUGGGCCGUGUCUCAGUCCCAGUGUGGCCGGUCACCCUCUCAGGCCGGCUACCCGUCGUCGCCUUGGUAGGCCAUUACCCCACCAACAAGCUGAUAGGCCGCGAGUCCAUCCUCCACCGAUAAAUCUUUCCACCCCCACCCAUGCAGGCAGGAGUCCUAUCCAGUAUUAGCACCGGUUUCCCGGAGUUAUCCCAGAGUGAAGGGCAGGUUACUCACGUGUUACUCACCCGUUCGCCACUCAUCCACCCAGCAAGCUGGGCUUCAGCGUUCGACUUGCAUGUGUUAAGCACGCCGCCAGCGUUCGUCCUGAGCCAGGAUCAAACUCU
rnacentral:rRNA from 1 species